GAUGAACGCUAGCGGCAGGCUUAACACAUGCAAGUCGAGGGGCAGCAUAAAUAGUAGCAAUACUAUUGGUGGCGACCGGCGGACGGGUGCGUAACGCGUAUACAACCUUCCCUAAACAGGGGGAUAAUCUGGAGAAAUUCGGUCUAAUACCCCAUAACAUCAGAGCAGGCAUCUGUUUUGGUUAAAAUUUCCGGAGGUUUAGGAUGGGUAUGUGUAGCAUUAGCUAGUUGGUGAGGUAACGGCUCACCAAGGCGACGAUGCUUAGGGGGACUGAGAGGUUAACCCCCCACACUGGUACGGGGACACGGACCAGACUCCUACGGGAGGCAGCAGUGAGGAAUAUUGGUCAAUGGGCGGAAGCCUGAACCAGCCAUGCCGCGUGCAGGAUGACGGCUCUAUGAGUUGUAAACUGCUUUUGUACGAGGGUAAAGUGGGCUACGUGUAGCCUUUUGAAAGUAUCGUACGAAUAAGGAUCGGCUAACUCCGUGCCAGCCGCCGCCGUAA
rnacentral:rRNA from 1 species